GUCAGAACAACUUAACUGAAUUGAAAUCUCGUGGCAGAGUUCUUAAUGAAGUGUAUAAAAAGCUAUUUAGAGAAAUAGAUGAUAAAGCAAGAAGUGGUGCAGAUGAAACACUAAUAAUGAAAGAUCGAGUUCAGCUUCUGGAGAGAUAUGGCAAAGACCUUAAAGAACAGAACAGGUUACUUUUAUGGACACUGGAACAGACUCAGCAAGAAAUGAUGGAGAGCAAG